AUUGAAGAGGUUUGGAAAGACCCACCACAGAAGGUAAUAGUCCUGUAUGUUAAACGAGAAGACUUUAGAUAUGAUCCAGAGUACCACGGGACACGUGAAACCCUGUGGGAAGCAGGAGGGACCACCCUCCAAGGCUAAAUACUACCUAGUGACCGAUAGCGUAUAGUACCGUGAGGGAAAGGUGAAAAGAACCCCGGGAGGGGAGUGAAAUAGAACCUGAAACCCUGCACUUACAAGCUGUGGAAGCACAUUUCUUGUGUGACCGCGUACUUUUUGUAGAACGGGCCAACGAGUUACGUUAAGUAGCAAGGUUAAGCACUUAAGGUGCGGAGCCGUAGCGAAAGCGAGUUUUAACUGAGCGUUCAGUUACUUGACGUAGACCCGAAACCGGGCGACCUACCCAUGAGCAGGAUGAAGCGAAAGUAAAAUUUCGUGGAGGUCCGAACCCACGAGCGUUGAAAAGCUCGGGGAUGACUUGUGGGUAGCGGUGAAAUUCCAAUCGAGCCCGGAGAUAGCUGGUUCUCCCCGAAAUAGCUUUAGGGCUAGCCUCAAGGUGAGAGAUACGGAGGUAGAGCACUGAAUGUCCUAGGGGGUAUUGCACCUACCGAAGACUAUCAAACUCCGAAUGCCGUCAUCUUAUACUUGGGAGUCAGACUGUGGGUGAUAAGAUUCAUAGUCGAAAGGGCAACAGCCCAGAUCGUCAGCUAAGGUCCCUAAAUGUAAGUUAAGUGGUAAAGGAUGUGGGAUUGCACAGACAACCAGGAUGUUGGCUUAGAAGCAGCCACUCAUUCAAAGAGUGCGUAAUAGCUCACUGGUCGAGUGAUCCUGCGCCGAAGAUUUCCGGGGCUAAAACUUACUACCGAAGCUACGGCAUCAGUAAUGAUGGGUAGGGGAGCUUCCCAUACGGGUUGAAGCAUGACCGUAAGGACAUGUGGACAGUAUGGGAGUGAGAAUGUUGGCAUGAGUAGCGAGAUGUGGGUGAGAAUCCCACAGGCCGUAAACCCAAGGUUUCCAGGGGAAGGUUCGUCCGCCCUGGGUUAGUCGGGACCUAAGCUGAGGCCGAAAGGCGUAGGUGAUGGACAACAGGUUGAUAUUCCUGUACUACCGAUAACCGUUUGAGAGAAGGGAUGACACAGUAGGAUAAGCUAAGCACACUGUUGGUUAUGUGUGCCCAAGCAUUGAGGCAGUCAAAGUAGGCAAAUCCGCUUUGAUAAUGCUGGGAUGUGAUGGGGAGCGAAAUUUAGUAGCGAAGUAGCUGAUUUCACACUGUCAAGAAAAGUCUCUAUCGAGGUUAAAGGUACCCGUACCGCAAACCGACACAGGUGGGUGAGGAGAGUAUCCUAAGGCCAGCGAGAGAACUGUUGUUAAGGAACUCGGCAAAAUGACCCCGUAACUUAGGGAUAAGGGGUGCCACCAUCAGGUGGCCGCAGAGAAUAGGCCCAAGCGACUGUUUACCAAAAACAUAGGUUUCUGCUAAGUCGCAAGACGAUGUAUAGGAGCUGACGCCUGCCCGGUGCUGGAAGGUUAAGGGGAUCUGUUAGAGCAAUCGAAGCAGUGAACUUAAGCCCCAGUAAACGGCGGCCGUAACUAUAACGGUCCUAAGGUAGCGAAAUUCCUUGUCGGGUAAGUUCCGACCCGCACGAAAGGCGUAACGAUUUGGGCACUGUCUCAACAACAGACUCGGUGAAAUUGUAAUUCCGGUGAAGAUGCCGGAUACCUGCGACAGGACGGAAAGACCCCAUGGAGCUUUACUGUAGCUUGACAUUGGGUCUUGGUACUACAUGUACAGGAUAGGUGGGAGGCUUUGAAACCAGGACGCCAGUUUUGGCGGAGCCAUCCUUGGGAUACCACCCUUGUAGUACUGGGACUCUAACCAUAGGCCAUGAAUCUGGUCUUGGGACACUGUCAGGUGGGCAGUUUGACUGGGGCGGUCGCCUCCCAAAAGGUAACGGAGGCGCUCAAAGGUUCUCUCAGUACGGUCGGAAAUCGUACGUAGAGUGUAAAGGCAAAAGAGAGCUUGAUUGCAAGACAUACAGGUCGAGCAAGGAUGAAAAUCGGACUUAGUGAUCCGGUGGUUCUGCGUGGAAGGGCCAUCGCUCAACGGAUAAAAGCUACCCUGGGGAUAACAGGCUUAUCUCCCCCAAGAGUCCACAUCGACGGGGAGGUUUGGCACCUCGAUGUCGGCUCAUCACAUCCUGGGGCUGUAGUAGGUCCCAAGGGUUGGGCUGUUCGCCCAUUAAAGUGGUACGCGAGCUGGGUUCAGAACGUCGUGAGACAGUUCGGUCCCUAUCCGUCGCAGGCGUAGGAAAUUUGAGAAGACCUGUCCUUAGUACGAGAGGACCGGGAUGGACG
rnacentral:rRNA from 1 species